rnacentral:rRNA from 1 species
UACAGAGGUCCCGAGCGUUGUUCGGAUUCACUGGGCGUAAAGGGCGCGUAGGUGGUGAGGUAAGUCGGAUGUGAAAGCCCGGGGCUCACCCCCGGAAGUGCAUUGGAAACUGAUGGGCUGGAGUCCCGGAGAGGAGGGUGGAAUUCCUGGUGUAGCGGUGAAAUGCGUAGAUAUCAGGAGGAACACCGGUGGCGAAGGCGGCCCUCUGGACGGUGACUGACGCUGAGACGCGAAAGCGUGGGGAGCAAACAGG